rnacentral:rRNA from 1 species
UCCAGCAGCUGUACCACCUGCAGUUCAGAGAGGGUAAUCCACCUGAAGCUAACUAGCUUUGGAUCUUGCGUGUACUUGGAUGGGAGACCAGCUAUAAAAACAGGGUUGCUGCUGGAU